UCCGUAGGUGAACCUGCGGAGGGAUCAUUACUGAGUUUACGCUCUACAACCCUUUGUGAACAUACCUAUAACUGUUGCUUCGGCGGGUAGGGUCUCCGUGACCCUCCCGGCCUCCCGCCCCCGGGCGGGUCGGCGCCCGCCGGAGGAUAACCAAACUCUGAUUUAACGACGUUUCUUCUGAGUGGUACAAGCAAAUAAUCAAAACUUUUAACAACGGAUCUCUUGGUUCUGGCAUCGAUGAAGAACGCAGCGAAAUGCGAUAAGUAAUGUGAAUUGCAGAAUUCAGUGAAUCAUCGAAUCUUUGAACGCACAUUGCGCCCGCCAGCAUUCUGGCGGGCAUGCCUGUUCGAGCGUCAUUUCAACCCUCAAGCUCUGCUUGGUGUUGGGGCCCUACAGCUGAUGUAGGCCCUCAAAGGUAGUGGCGGACCCUCCCGGAGCCUCCUUUGCGUAGUAACUUUACGUCUCGCACUGGGAUCCGGAGGGACUCUUGCCGUAAAACCCCCCAAUUUUCCAAAGGUUGACCUCGGAUCAGGUAGG
rnacentral:rRNA from 1 species